rnacentral:rRNA from 1 species
CCUACGGGGUGCAGCAGUGAGGAAUAUUGGUCAAUGGGCGGAAGCCUGAACCAGCCAAGUAGCGUGCAGGAUGACGGCCCUACGGGUUGUAAACUGCUUUUAUACGGGAAUAAAGCGCCUUACGUGUAGGGCUUUGCAUGUACCGUAUGAAUAAGGACCGGCUAAUUCCGUGCCAGCAGCCGCGGGAAAACGGGAGGACCGGGCGGUAUCCGGAUUUAUUGGGGCUAAAGGGCGCGUAGGCGGCAUGGCAAGGGUGCUGGGAAAUGUCCGGGCUCAACCCGGGCCUUGCAGCGGGAACUGGCGUGCUUGAGUCCGCGUUCAGCAGGCGGAAUUCGUCGUGUAGCGGU